rnacentral:rRNA from 1 species
GACGAACGCUGGCGGCGUGCCUAAUACAUGCAAGUUGAGCGCUGAAGGUUGGUACUUGUACCAACUGGAUGAGCAGCGAACGGGUGAGUAACGCGUGGGGAAUCUGCCUUUGAGCGGGGGACAACAUUUGGAAACGAAUGCUAAUACCGCAUAAAAACUUUAAACACAAGUUUUAAGUUUGAAAGAUGCAAUUGCAUCACUCAAGGAUGAUCCCGCGUUGUAUUAGCUAGUUGGUGAGGUAAAGGCUCACCAAGGCGAUGAUACAUAGCCGACCUGAGAGGGUGAUCGGCCACAUUGGGACUGAGACACGGCCCAAACUCCUACGGGAGGCAGCAGUAGGGAUUCUUCGGCAAUGGACGAAAGUCUGACCGAGCAACGCCGCGUGAGUGAAGAAGGUUUUCGGAUCGUAAAACUCUGUUGGUAGAGAAGAACGUUGGUGAGAGUGGAAAGCUCAUCAAGUGACGGUAACUACCCAGAAAGGGACGGCUAACUACGUG